GAUGAACGCUGGCGGCGUGCCUAAUACAUGCAAGUCGAGCGAACAGAUGAGGAGUUUGCUCCUCUGACUAUAGCGGCGGACGUGUGAGUAACACGUGGAUAACCUCUCUAUAAGACUGGGAUAACUUCGGAAAACCGGAUCAAAUACCAGAUAAUAUAUUGAACCACAUGGUUCAAUAGAAAAAGACGGUUUUGCUGUCACUUAUAGAUGGAUCCGCGCCGCAUUAGCUAGUUGGUAAGGUAACGGCUUACCAAGGCGACGAUGCGUAGCCGACCUGAGAGGGUGAUCGGCCACCCUGGAACUGAGACACGGUCCAGACUCCUACGGGAGGCAGAAGUGGGGAAUCUUCCGCAAUGGGGGAAAGCCUGACGGAGCAACGCCGCGUGAGUGAUGAAGGUCUUCGGAUCGUAAAACUCUGUGAUUGGGAAAGAACAAAUGUGUAAGUAACUAUGCACGUCUUGACGGUACCUAAUCAGAAAGCCACGGCUAACUACGUG
rnacentral:rRNA from 1 species